rnacentral:rRNA from 1 species
CACGUAGGGUGCGAGCGUUGUCCGGAAUUAUUGGGCGUAAAGAGCUCGUAGGCGGUGUGUCACGUCGGCCGUGAAAACCUGCAGCUUAACUGUGGGCGUGCGGUCGAUACGGGCAUCACUGGAGUUCGGCAGGGGAGACUGGAAUUCCUGGUGUAGCGGUGAAAUGCGCAGAUAUCAGGAGGAACACCGGUGGCGAAGGCGGGUCUCUGGGCCGAUAUUGACGCUGAGGAGCGAAAGCGUGGGGAGCGAACAGG